GUCUGUUGUUAUUUAUGUAUUAUUGUCAUUUUGUUUAUUUUCUUUGGUUACAUCUUCUGACAUCAGACUCGGAUUUCUCUUCAACUGAAUUUUAAUGUGCGUAUUGUUAUGCGUUUACUUUACUACAUUGGUUAGAGGUAUAGGGGGAGGGUUGAGAUCUCACAAACAUGUUUAACCCCGCCGCAUUUUUGCGCCUGUCCCAAGUCAGA
rnacentral:lncRNA from 1 species